AAAAAGAUAAGCUAAUUGUAAGCUAAUGGGUUCAUACCCCAUUUAUAGAAGUUUAAUCUUCUUCUUUUUA
rnacentral:tRNA from 1 species